GAUGAACGCUAGCGACAGGCCUAACACAUGCAAGUCGAGGGGCAGCAUGAAAGUAGCUUGCUACUUUUGAUGGCGACCGGCGCACGGGUGCGUAACAGGUGUGCAAUCUGUCCAUAAUCGGGGAAUAGCCCAGCGAAAGUUGGAUUAAUGCUCCAUGUGAGCCGAGGAGGCAUCUCUUUGGUUCGAAACGUAAGGAUUAUGGGUGAGCACGCUUCUGAUUAGGUAGUUGGUGAGGUAACGGCUCACCAAGCCGACGAUCAGUAGGGGUUCUGAGAGGAAGGUCCCCCACAUUGGAACUGAGACACGGUCCAAACUCCUACGGGAGGCAGCAGUGAGGAAUAUUGGUCAAUGGACGCAAGUCUGAACCAGCCAAGUCGCGUGAAGGAUGAAGGUUCUAUGGAUUGUAAACUUCUUUUGUCUGAGGGUAAAAAAGCGGACGUGUCCGUUCUUGCAAGUAUCAGACGAAUAAGCAUCGGCUAACUCCGUGCCAGCAGCCGCGGUAACAC
rnacentral:rRNA from 1 species